rnacentral:rRNA from 1 species
GACGAACGCUGGCGGCGUGCUUAACACAUGCAAGUCGAGCGGUAAGGCCCUUUCGGGAGUACACGAGCGGCGAACGGGUGAGUAACACGUGGGUGACCUGCCCUCAGCUCUGGGAUAAGCCUGGGAAACCGGGUCUAAUACUGGAUAUGACUCCAUGACGCAUGUUGUGGGGUGGAAAGCCUUGUGCGGCUGAGGAUGGGCCCGCGGCCUAUCAGCUUGUUGGUGGGGUGAUGGCCUACCAAGGCGACGAGU